rnacentral:rRNA from 1 species
UACGGAGGGUGCGAGCGUUGUCCGGAAUCAUUGGGCGUAAAGGGCGCGUAGGUGGCCCAGUUAGCGUGCGGUGAAAGCUCGGGGCUCAACCCCGAGUCGGCCGUGCGAACUGCUGGGCUCGAGCACUGUAGAGGCAGGUGGAAUUCCGGGUGUAGCGGUGGAAUGCGUAGAGAUCCGGAAGAACACCGGUGGCGAAGGCGGCCUGCUGGGCAGUGGCUGACGCUGAGGCGCGACAGCGUGGGGAGCAAACAGG